UCCACCUCUACAGCGGGGGUGCAAAUGCACAUGUAUCAAUAUAGUAGGCUGUGAAAAGUUUGAGUGAAUGGAUAUUAAAAUUAUAACCAUUCGGCUUGAAUAUACAAACAAACAUACAUACUAUAUUUACAAAAGCCAAAUAAAUCACUAUAGUUAAAAUUCUGCAUUUGCCGUUAGUUUUAUUGUAGUUUGCCUAUUUAUUUACUUGGCGCAAUUUUCGUGCUGGAAAUGUAAUCACGCCGAUGUACUCUAAGGACAAGUGCCAGUGACCUAGAUAUUUUGGGAGCCCUGCGCCUGAUACUCCGACAAGCAACAACAACACCACCGUCGCCGUAUCUCUGGCUCGAGCCUUAAUCCUCUUACCGACCGACCGAGCGGUGUGCACAACCACACACAAAGUAAAGGUCACAAACCGCGCGAGGCAAGACUUUUUUGGUGGGUGGUAACCGCGCGAAUCGAGCUUAUAUGUGUGUGUGUGUGACCAGGACUGGACAUGCGUAACAACAGUGGCUACAGCCUGGCCAGCAACAGUCUGAAUAACAACAACAACAACUGUGCCCCCCAACAAAGCGCAGGAUCACCUGCCGCCCGCGGCUUCUCCAAUGUGGACAAUACAACGCUUUAUUACUGCAAUUACGACAACUGUAACCUGAACGCCACCUGGAGCCGGAGUCAAAAUCAAAAUCAGAACCAUCCGAACCUACAGCAACCGUCAAAGCGAAUUCCCACCAAGCAUGCCAGCAGAUUUCACUACCAACAAUCGGCGGCCAAUUCGGCGCCGGACUCUUCGCUCUAUGCUGAUGCCUUUGCACAGCCAUCGCUGAUUAACCAGCGGAUGAUAGCUGGAAACAACAAGAGCUGCGAGUACCUUUACCACAAGAGCCAUCGGCGAGCAGAGGAGCAGCAGCAACAGCAGUACAAGCUACUGCGUCCCUAUGUCACUGCCGACAAGGAGCAGCAGCAGCGUCAAUCCAUCGUUUACUUCGAUCCGGAGCUUAAGAAACGGAAAGCCCGCUUGCCCGAGUAUACGGACAAUAGUCCGGAUCGAUAUCGCGCCUCACCAGAGCUGACAUGGGAUGCCAUACUCAGCUCCGAACGUCCAACGCAGUAUCACACCCAUUAUCAGCACUAUUUCUCCUACUUUUACAACCGUGGAGGAGGCGAGCAGGAGCUUCUGUCCAAUACCUCGUUUGCCUCCAAUAAUAGCCGCAAACUGCCAAUGAGUAAAUUUCAAAAGUCAGUCGCUGUAGCCGUCAGUCCUCGUGGAGAUGCCAGCACCAAUGACACCCUCAUUAGUGGUCGCCGGGAGACUUCCGAGGAGCGCAGCUGGCCAUCUCUCAAGUAUGAAAAACAUGUGCUGAAGGAAAAGCUCCCGAACAAUGGUUUGGACACAGAUUGUGGCUGGGUUGAGGCGGAGGAUGAUGGCGAGAUUUACCGGGAAACCAAAGAAGUCUAUGACGCAUCUGUGGUAAUUGAUGGAUUCGAACAGAUUCAUCGUCGCUAUUGCCGUAUUUCCGAGAAUACGGCCAUCGAGGAUGCUGGAGAUUGCUUACUCAAUAACAAUAAUAAUGAAUUGAAAUAUGUACGUAAAUCGGUGGUGGAUCAGCCGGUGCCACGGCUGCCAAUGACGCCAAAGAGGGUGAAAGGUGGCGCAUCCGUGUCCGUCAAAAAGCCAAUGCCCACAGUUCACCGAGUGCUGCUUUACAGCACGCAAAGUCCCAGGAUGGGACGCAAGCAGCUAAGCAAUCAGCGGAGUCUCAGUCUGAAGCAGCAGCAAGGCAACAACAAGUCGCAGGGCGACGCACACACGGUAAUUCUAAUGGAGCCGGAAGCCAAGCCAGAUGGCCAACGCAGUCCCGAUGACUAUGAUCGCAACGAGGACUUUGAUGACGACGAUGACCUGGACAAUCUUUCGAAUUUCGAUGAGAGCGACACGGCCAGUGUUCUCUCGGACACCGAGGACGGUUAUCGUGCGCAUGCCUACAAGCUAACGCAUUCCACGGAUCGCUUUACAUCGCCCCAAAGCACGCCCAGCUAUCUGUCUUCCCAGUCUUCCGAGGAUGAUCUUAAAAAUCCCGAUUCCCUGCUUGUGCCCAGUCUAUUUCCCCACGUGCCGCCCUAUCUGUCCUUCUCGUCAAACACCAAAAAGGGCCCGAGAGUGCCGCCAGAGCUUCAUCGAGUGCUCAAGUGGCGCAUUACAAAUAUAAUGCCCAAGGUGGUGCGCCUUAUACUGGCCAACAGCGGCAUGAGGAUGCUGAAGAAAACCAACGACUGGAUGGGCGUGUGGGGCAAGCAUUUAAAGUCGCCCUGCUUCAAGACCAUUCGUUCGUAUCAGAAAAUCAAUCACUUGCCCGGCUCAUUUCGCAUUGGGCGUAAGGAUUCGUGCUGGAAGAAUCUGCAGCGGCAGAUGGGCAAGCAUAGCAACAGGGAGUUUGGCUUUAUGCCGCGCACCUACAUUAUUCCCAAUGAUCUGGGCGCCUUGAGACGUCACUGGCCAAAGUAUGCUCAGCGCAACACCAAGUGGAUUAUAAAGCCACCGGCCAGCGCUCGUGGAGCGGGCAUUCGGGUCAUUAAUCGAUGGGGACAGAUCCCUAAACGUAGGCCACUUAUUGUCCAGAAGUAUAUUGAAAGACCACUUCUGAUAAAUGGCAGCAAGUUUGAUCUGCGGCUGUAUGUUCUGGUGACCUCUGUAAAUCCUUUGCGGGUGUUUAUGUACCACAAUGGUCUGGCUCGAUUUGCUUCUGUUAAAUACAGUGCCAAGACGGACACUUUAAACGAUCGUUGCAUGCACUUGACCAACUACAGCAUCAACAAGUUCUCCUCCAACUAUUCAAAGAACGAAGAUGUCAAUGCCUGCCAUGGCCACAAGUGGACCAUCAAGUCGCUGUGGCAGUACUUGGCCAAUCGUGGUGUUCGCACGGAUUGCCUAUGGGAGGCCCUGCGCAGCUUGGUUCUUCGAACAAUUCUCGCUGGCGAGAAUGGCAUAAAUAGCAUGAUCCGGGCCAAUGUGGAGUCCAAGUACAGUUGCUUUGAGCUUUUUGGCUUUGAUGUGAUUUUAGACUCAGACCUCGUUCCCUGGCUACUGGAAGUGAAUAUAUCACCGAGCUUACACUCGGAACUGCCACUAGAUGCUCAUGUCAAGGCGCCGUUGGUGCAAGGCGUUCUCAACACGGCGUUGUACAAUGUACCUCCAAAACUAUCUAUGGAUAAGCAAAAAGAACUGGCUGCCGAGUUCUCAUUUCCGCCUGGCACACAAAUGUGCUAUGACAAGCGACUUUAUAUUAAUUAUUUAUCGCGAGAGGAAAAAGUGAAGCACAAUACCUUCACCAGGAAGUCCAUGGAAGACAGAAAUGAGUAUGUCAACGAGAUCCUGAAUAACCUAACCCCUGAUGACGUCCGCUGCUUGAUCAUUGCCGAGGAUGAAUUGGCGCGUUGUGCGCCACUAGAACGAAUUUUUCCAACUGAUCAAACCCAUAAGUACCUUAAAUACAAUGACAGUCCAAGGUAUUACAAUCGCCUGCUGGAUGCCUGGGAGUCGCGUUAUGCUAACAAUCGUACCGAGGGCAUCGCGCUAUUGCGCGACUAUUGUCAAAACAAAUAUCAUCUUCAGGUCCCAACACCGCCGGCCAAAAAGCCUUUGCCUUUUAACACAGGACUCGAACGAUGAAGAAAUCAACCCAACGACGAAACCAGAAACUGUUCAAGAUGGCAACAAUUCGUAGCAUUAGCCACUCCCCAAUGUUUUACAAUCCAUCAUAUUCAUUUAAACAGACUUCAUACAACAUCAGGAAAUAGCUUAUUUGGAAAACCAUCUUCGAUUUUUAAAUUGAAUUUUAGGAUGGAUUUCGGUGGUCUUCCGUAUUUUCGGUACCUAAGAAAUUUAUAUGUAACUCUAGUGUAAUUAGAACAAAAAGUUAUACAGUGAAUUAUUAAAUUAUAUGUUAUUUGAAUGAA